AUGAUCCUCGCGGGAGAGAUCGGUCCGUCCGACGCCGAAGGCGCAACCGCCCCGGAAACGCUCAGGCAAAAGGACCGCGAGGAGCUG
rnacentral:ncRNA from 2 species